CCUACGGGAGACAGCAGUGAGGAAUAUUGGUCAAUGGGCGCGAGCCUGAACCAGCCAAGUAGCGUGAAGGAUGACUGCUCUACGGGUUGUAAACUUUUUUUAUAAAGGAAUAAAGUGAGGCACGUGUGCCUUUUUGUAUGUACUUUAUGAAUAAGGAUCGGCUAACUCCGUGCCAGCAGCCGCGGUAAUACGGAGGGCACGAGCGUUAUCCGGAUUUAUUGGGUUUAAAGGGAGCGUAGAUGGGUUGUUAAGUCAGUUGUGAAAGUUUGCGGCUCAACCGUAAAAUUGCAAUUGGUACUGGCAGGCUUGAGUACAGUUGAGGUAGGCGGAAUUCGUGGGGUAGCGGUGAAAUGCUUAGAUAUCACGAAGAACUCCGAUUGCGAAGGCAGCCUACUAAACUGCCACUGACAUUGAGGCUCGAAAGUGUGGGGAGCAAACAGGAUUAGAUACCCCAGUAGUC
rnacentral:rRNA from 1 species